UGCCCUGCCCUGACCUUGCAGCUCUGGCACAGGAAAUAAGCCCUGGAUUUUUAAGUCCUCUCAGUCCAGGGUUCAGCACUGAACACAGGACACUCACCAUGGACUUAUGGCUUAUAAUUGUUUCUUUUGUCCUCAUUUUCAAAGGUUUCCAGUGUGAGGUACAAUUGCUGGAGUCUGGGGGAGGCUUAGUGCAGCCUGGAAAGUCCCUGAAACUCUCCUGUGCAGCCUCUGGAUUCACCUUCAGUAAUUAUUACAUGAACUGGGUUCGCCAGGCUCCAGGGAAGGGGCUGGAGUGGGUCGCACAGAUUAAUACAGAUGGUAGUAGCACCUGGUAUACUGACGCUGUGAAGGGCCGGUUCACAAUCUCCAGAGACAAUGCCAAGAACACUCUGUACCUGGACAUGAACAGUCUGAAGUCUGAAGACACAGCCAUGUAUUACUGUGCAAGAAGCACAGUGAGUGAAUGUUACUGUGAACUCAGACAAAAACACCGCUGUGGGGAACGCAGGACCAGCAGGGGGCGCUGAGAGCACUUAGAGAUC